rnacentral:rRNA from 1 species
AGUGAACGCUGGCGGCAGGCCUAACACAUGCAAGUCGAACGGCAGCACAGGAGAGCUUGCUCUCUGGGUGGCGAGUGGCGGACGGGUGAGGAAUACAUCGGAAUCUGCCUAUUUGUGGGGGAUAACCUCGGGAAACCGGGACUAAUACCGCAUACGACCUACGGGUGAAAGCAGGGGACCUUCGGGCCUUGCGCAGAUAGAUGAGCCGAUGUCGGAUUAGCUAGUUGGAGGGGUAAUGGCCCACCAAGGCGACGAUCCGUAGCUGGUCUGAGAGGAUGAUCAGCCACACUGGGACUGAGACACGGCCCAGACUCCUACGGGAGGCAGCAGUGGGGAAUAUUGGACAAUGGGCGAAAGCCUGAUCCAGCCAUGCCGCGUGAGUGAAGAAGGCCCUCGGGUUGUAAAGCUCUUUUGUUGGGAAAGAAAAGCAAUCGGUUAAUACCCGGUUGUUCUGACGGUACCCAAAGAAUAAGCACCGGCUAACUUCGUGCCAGCCGCCGCCGUAACAC